rnacentral:lncRNA from 1 species
GCCAUGUUCGUUCAUUUUCCAUUGUUAUUGUUUAUACUAAUGCACCCCAAUAUUUUCCAUUGUUAUUGUUUAUACUAAUGCACCCCAAUAUUUUCCAUUGUUGUUGUUUAUACUAAUGCACCCCAAUAUUUACCAUUUUUAAUUGGUUUGCUGUUUUUUUUUCUCUACUUAUUAUUGUUCGUUAUUCUCAAUUCUAUAGACCUUAUCUAAACUCUCAAGUACAUCUGUUAAAUUGAUACUGAAUUAUAUACUAGAAGAAAAUUCAGUGAUUUUAUUACGUUAUACAAAGUAAUUCUAUUUCAGUUUUUAAUUUUUAUCCAUGAUUUAUAUAUAAUGAUAAUACUACAUAAAAUAAGAAUAUUAAACAAGCUAUUUCGUGACCUUUACAGAAAACUAUUUUUAUUCCCCCGUUAACUCUUUCUCUAGCAAAAGUAUUAAACAUCUGACUUCUUUACCUUUUACAUAAUGUUUCCCUAAUCAAACCUUAGGGACAAAUUAACAGAAUUGGUACUGCUUUAUUUCAUAAAAAAAACAUGUCUUACUUUAAUCCAUUUUCACGAAUGUGACCUACCGAAUUAGACUAUUUAUCGGAUUUGUAUUAACAAAAGUAACACGACGGGUGCAACAUGUGGAGCAAGAUCUGUUUACCCUUCCGGAGCACCUGAGAUCAUCCCCGGUUUUUGGUGGGGUUCGUGUUGCUCAGUAUUUAGUUUUCUAUGUUGUGUCUAUUAUUUGUCUGUUUGUCUUUUUUAUUUUUUAGGUAUGACGUUGUCAGUUUAUUUUCAAUCUAUGAGUUUGACUGUCCCUCUAGUAAUUUUCGCCCCUCUUUAAUAUACAAGUAUCUUGUUAUAGGUAGGGACAAAUCUUACUUUGUAUAGAAUAUCUUUUUAAUGAUAAAUUCUCUGAAACUGACAUUAUCAAGAGGCUUGUAUUUUUGAUUGACAACAUGUAUCUCAAUAGACAGUCGGUAUUCCCAAGGUUACAAACUGUCCUCCUCUUCUACCCGACUUGUUCCUUUAUUCAUAUAAGAUUGGAAUCGUAAAGGAGAUUUUUAGUAUAAAUGAAAAGAAGCAAUCGCCAUCCUUUACUUUUCACUAAAUAAUUAAAAAAUACUGGUUUUGUUGAACGCAUCUUUCCAUCAAAUAAAUUAUUCAUAAUUUAUAAAUUAUUUUCCCUUAUCAACCAUCAAAACCAAAAGCUCAAUCAAUUCAAACGAAUGUAAAACAAAUGACAUAUUCCUGACUUGGAACAGGCGUUUCCGUAUGUACAAAUGGUGGAUUAUACUUGGUUUUAUACCUAGCUAAACCGCUCCCUUGUAUGACAGCCACCUAAAAUUCCAGUAUACUGACAACAAUGUGUGAACAAAAUAAAACUAGGUUAAAAUGUCAAAAUAGGAUUUAACUGUUAUAGCGAUAAGGAUUUUUGAAUAUAAAUAUACAAUUUUAAACGUUCUUAUCUUUG